ensembl:lncRNA
CUAUAAUGAUAAAGGUAUAGACUUAGAAAAGAUUGAGGACAGUACUAAACCACUUUCAAGCCUAGAAAGAAGGGAAAAGACAGAAAAUCAGUUUCAAAGCUAUUAGAAAAUCUUCCUAGCAAAGAAAGCUGUGGGAAACCAGAGAGCAUUGCAAUGGACUAAGAGGUCCUCUCUGAAAACUUCAAAGAACUGGCCUUCCUCUGAAUUUGGGAACAGCUUUAAGUACAGACGAAAGAAUACACAGGUUGAGAGAAACCACAAGCCUUGAGGAUGACAUGGGACAAGUCAUCAACCACUCUCUAAAUAUCCAUUUUUCCGAGCCUGGUAACACAUCAGACCUGUUUUUACUGUUUCUCUAUACCAAGGGUGUCACACUUCCUGUGCAUGGAUUGAAGUGAGAGAAGAGGAGGAAGUAGAUGAUUUGGGUGUCUUUUCCUAGGAAAAAAAAAAAAGAGUUUAUGGAUGUGAUUCAUAAGCGCUUCAUAUGAGAUACUGGUCGCUUCACUUUUCAUCUUACUUCAAGCAGUCUUUAUGAAAUUCAGUUAUUCAAGCACUCAGGAUUUAGGAAGACUGGCUGACAUUUAGCCAACAAGAGAUACAGAAUAGUUAUGAGGCAAAGAUACACCCAGGACUUCAGCACAGAGGCAACAAAGAAAGGACCAGGUGAGGAUGCAG